AAUUGUAUGCUGUAUGGCUAAAUGAUUGACUUUCUGUGUACUGUAUAUAUACUGAGCAGUUAGUAAAAUAAUAUUGAAAUAAACACACUGUGGCCACUAUUGUCCAAAUAAGUGCCUUUAUUUCCACAACUCUAUUAGUACUUACUAAUUAACAAUCAUUUAUCUAUUAUGCAGAACUGUCUUUACGUAAUCAAACACAUUUGUCAAAAACAUAGUCAAGUAAAGUGCCUCUUUUAAAAACUUGGUAAAAUGCAUCACAUAAAAACCUAUUAGUUAUAGUUAGUUCUAUAAUCUUAAGAAAAUAUGAUUACUUGUGCUUUU